AGUGAACGCUGGCGGUAGGCCUAACACAUGCAAGUCGAACGGCAGCACAGUAAGAGCUUGCUCUUACGGGUGGCGAGUGGCGGACGGGUGAGGAAUACAUCGGAAUCUACUUUUUCGUGGGGGAUAACGUAGGGAAACUUACGCUAAUACCGCAUACGACCUACGGGUGAAAGCAGGGGAUCUUCGGACCUUGCGCGAUUGAAUGAGCCGAUGUCGGAUUAGCUAGUUGGCGGGGUAAAGGCCCACCAAGGCGACGAUCCGUAGCUGGUCUGAGAGGAUGAUCAGCCACACUGGAACUGAGACACGGUCCAGACUCCUACGGGAGGCAGCAGUGGGGAAUAUUGGACAAUGGGCGCAAGCCUGAUCCAGCCAUACCGCGUGGGUGAAGAGGGCCUUCGGGUUGUAAAGCCCUUUUGUUGGGAAAGAAAAGCAGCAGGUUAAUACCCCGCUGUUCUGACGGUACCCAAGGAAUAAGCACCGGCUAACUUCGU
rnacentral:rRNA from 1 species